GACGAACGCUGGCGGCGUGCUUAACACAUGCAAGUCGAACGGAAAGGCCCUGCUUUUGUGGGGUGCUCGAGUGGCGAACGGGUGAGUAACACGUGAGUAACCUGCCCUUGACUUUGGGAUAACUUCAGGAAACUGGGGCUAAUACCGGAUAGGAGCUCCUGCUGCAUGGUGGGGGGUGGAAAGUUUCGGCGGUUGGGGAUGGACUCGCGGCUUAUCAGCUUGUUGGUGGGGUAGUGGCUUACCAAGGCUUUGACGGGUAGCCGGCCUGAGAGGGUGACCGGCCACAUUGGUACUGAGAUACGGCCCAGACUCCUACGGGAGGCAGCAGUGGGGAAUAUUGCACAAUGGGCGGAAGCCUGAUGCAGCAACGCCGCGUGCGGGAUGACGGCCUUCGGGUUGUAAACCGCUUUCGCCUGUGACGAAGCGUGAGUGACGGUAAUGGGUAAAGAAGCACCGGCUAACUACGUG
rnacentral:rRNA from 1 species